AGAUAUAUGUACUUGUACUGACUUGUCUUGUCUGACUUGGUGACUUGUCUUUUCCUGUGUUGAAGCGUGUUGUCUAUUGUCAUUUUUGUCAACGGUUUAUCAUAUUAUUUUGAUUUUCUUGUGUAUCUUGAAGUUAUGCUAUGUCAAUGGCAAAGCGUAAGUAUAAUAAGUAUAGGUAGAGUCAAAACUCAAUGGUCAUAAUAUCAUGAAUUCAACGAAUUCUUGGACAAUGGAGAACAUUUGCAAAAGGAAAAUGACCUGCAGCGGCUUCCUGUUGUUGAUUUGGGAGGUUGGGUGAAAGUCUUAAAGAUACUUUGUAUUAGUUUAAAAUGACUCCAUGGGCGUGUUCAGCUACUCGAUAGGAAAGGGAUAUGCUCAUCAACGUUCUGGAGGAGCAUAAAGCCUUGCGCUUGCCUAGCCUUCGCGGGCGGUUGAGGAGCGUACACCGCAAGCUCCAAGCGAAGCGACUUUGGGAGGAACUGUGCGACCUGCGAUCUCCUAAAUGCCAUGGGCGGCUACACAAAAAGUCAAGAGUCACGCAGUGGCAAAAAGUAUGGUUUGACAGGAAGCAUCUUGCUACAAAAGCCACUGCUGACACCCAGAGGCCGGCUAGUCAUUGACCGGAAGUGGCUACCGAGUACAUCCCCACUCUCCCCUUGGCAGUUAAAAGUUUUAAACAUAAUGGGAGAUGGGUUUGGGCUCCGUCAGAUGGAGGCUAGAGUUCCGCCUUUCCCUCCUCGCAUCGCAUUCUACACGUCGUCGUCCUAGGAGAAUGCGGUUUGCUACUGGCUCUGACGUCAGACGUAGACUGUCUGAGUAGGUACGAGGACAGGCGUGAAGAAAGGGAAACCAUAAGACAUAGGUAUCUUGUCAGAAAUAAGGGCUACCAUGGAAGAAAUGUGUGGGAUAUCUCUAUCCAAAUCCUACAUUAAAUUAUCAAACAAAAAGCUUUUUUAUGCUUUGCCUAGUUAUCGCCCACAUGUCAUUAGUUGUGUUGUUAAUCCAUGCGAAUUUGUAAAAAUCGAAAACCCAAUAGGCAGUACAUAUAGGUAUAAGUGCUUGGCGACAUGUUAAUUUGGCUCCAUUGGACUUAUAAGUAAGAGCUUAUUUAUACAAAAGUAUUGUUUCAAAUGGUUAUUGCAUAAUUAUAUAUCAUCAUAAAACCAAGUCUCGCACCUCAAUUUUCCUACCGUAAAAAAAAGUGAGAUCCAUGUAAUAACAAGUCGGUUAUUUUAUUUAGUCCCUAUUUAAGGGACCUUCUUGCUUAAGUUAUUAUGUAAAUUAUUAUCAUCUUAUUUUACGUUUUAAAUAAAAUAGAUCGAUUUUGCCAUAUCACGUAAUCAUGCAAUAGACCAUCGUAAUUCGUAAUGAUGAAAUAGACUAAACAAUAUACAUAAUACAAGAAAUGUCAACAAAAGUAGUAGUGUUUUCAUGUGAUGGUCAAGUGUAUUUUAUUUUUAAAACGUAAAAUUAAUGUAAAGUAGAAAAAGUAAUGAGGUGCGAGACUUCAACAUUUUUUACCAUAUGUUUUUGAUGGCAUCUCACUUCUUUUUGUAGAUUAAAUUAUUCCAUUAAACAUUAAAAUGUAACUGCACGAAUAACUUUGUGAUUAUAUAUUUACCUAUAUGGGUUUUUUUAUCAUCAUCUUGUAAUAAAUUAUUAUAGGCUAUAUAAAAUAUUAUAGGCUAUUAUUUAAUACUUUAAAGAAAGAAAGAAGAAAUUACAAAGAAAUUAAUUAAUACUUUAUUUUUAAUUUUUACCUUUAUUAAUAAUGUCGGCAACUAAUGAUGGUAAUUGCUCCCCAAUAAACCAGAUGAAAUCGUAUUUAUCGUCAUUUAUAGUCCUCCCGGUAGCUUGAGGUGAUAGAGAUGUUGGGUGUUUCAAAUAUGUAUUUCUCCAAAACUUUAAACCGGGGUUACUUUGAUCAAUUUUGAACUUUGAAGGUCCAUAAAAUGUUAAGGACCUUCAAAUUUAAAUGUAAAUUUGUGGAUGUAAAAAAAUACAAAUAGUCUAAUAAUCAGUAUCUUUAGUACUCUCGAUUCUUGUAAUAAUAAGUGAAAAAAUGUGGCGUGAUUCUGAGAAAAAAAAACUGUCCGAUCAAAGUUAUACGUAGGAUGGGGUUACUUUGAUACCCCGUUUUUUAUUGCAUAACGACAAAGUAACCCCAAUUAUAAUUCCAAUAAAUUAAAAAAAAAUCUAAAUCUACCAACAGGAAAAAUAAAUAUUCACAUUUUUGUCUUAUGGGGUACCUUUAAUUAAAUAAAAGUCAUCAAACUUAACAUUUCUUUAUUAAACAUGUUGGUGACACAAUUCUAGCUUAAAAUCAGGCCUUAUUUGUUAUUUCCAUUAAACCUAAACAAGAACUUAGAAAUAAUAAGUCUUCAUACAAUCAACAAAGUAGAAACCUAUAAAAUAAUUAAUGGUUAAUCUUCCUUCCACUAUUUGACUGAGGGCUUCUACUAUUCGCGCUUGUGAAUAAUUUUUGUAUUCACGCGACCCAAGUUUCUUUUGAUAUACUCGCGGCAUCUUCCUGGAUGAUAAAAAAUUGAUUCAUUUAGCAAAACAGCAAUAAAAGUUUGUACAAUUUAUUUAUUUAUUUGUUUAUGUAAUAUGGAUUCAAAUAAUUUUGGUAAGGAUGAGAGUAUC